AAUAGCAAAAUCUAGGUUUCGAACCAAAUAAAUACACCUUAUUUUAAAAUAAUACGAAAUAAAGAAAUGACACAAUUAAGGAAUUGUUGAUGUGGAAAACCCAAAAGAGGUAAAACCGCUGGUAGAAUGAGGGUCUACCAAACUUUCACUAUGUAAAAUAUUGAAGAAGGAUUGCAAUGUAUGCUCGGUGUACUCUGGUAGCUAGGCUUCAGUGUGUCUAACAUUGAUGAUGCUUCUUCCUUUAAUAGAUGUUUAUUAGGGUUCAAUAUAGUCAUUAUAAAAUGAUAUAAUGCCUCCCUUAAUAUUUGGCCAUAUCCCUUUGAUUGCUGACCAACCCUUAACUUAGCCCACUAACGGCUUGAUUUAGAUAGCAAAAGACCAAGUCACUGAAGCUUAUCAUCUCCUGGAAAAUAGGCCGGGGGCUGUUUAUUAAGGUUUCGUCCGUCAAGCCUGGGCUUUAUUCAUCGAUGCUUUACUCUUCGUCUUUGACCUUGCCUGACUUGCGUUGAUGUUGACUUACUAAAAUUUAACCAUAACAAUUUGCCCCUAAUUGCUUAAUAUGGGCAGCGAUGUACAAAUUCAACAAUUAAAACUAUGGAAAUGAAAAAUAAACAGAGAAAUUCAAAAAUCAAAAUUGAUUCAAAAUCAACUUAUUUAAAGGUAGAUCAUCUUUCCGCUUGUUGUACUAACUCGAGAAGUUACUCCAACUUCCCACUUCUCCAUUUAACCGUCACUUAGCUUCUUGCCUUUAUUACUGCUACAUUUUUCCCGCUUCCCCGGAAUUACUACACUCCUUCUCUCUCUUUGGCAAAAGUUCUCGGGUGAUUCUAAGGCGGUGAGCGGCGACGAUUUCGAUUUUGAACUCUCGUCAGCUCAAAUCGAUAGGUAAUUACUUCAAUUCUUUGUUUUCUUAGUUAAAUUCGGCAAAUGUCAAAUAGAAUUCCUAAAACUAGGUUUAGGUUUUUGCUUUGAGUUGUUGAGAAAAGGGGAACAAUUGUUUUAGAAAUGAAAGUGGUAUUAAAUGCGGAGUCAUUGAUGAUGACUGCUUUGAAGGAUGACUUCGUUAAAAUGGCAGGGUUCCCUGAGAGUGUGUUUGCUGGAAAGGGUCCGAAGGUGGAGAACUAACUAAAAGGGUUUAUAGUGUUUUUCAGAUACCCAUUUAUGGAGACAUGGGCUGAAUUUUCCUUCAAGCCUCUGACUAGGUCUUUAAUUUCUUCGAGGUAUUGGGGUUAAGCCCUGGCAGUUGAUGCUGUCGGGUUGGAUAAUUUUAUCAGUUUUGGAAGGAAUUACCAUGAACUAGGAGGAUUCUUUUACUUUGGAAGAUCUAGUUGAGGCUUAUGGCAUAAAGAUGAGAACGCAUCGUUUUGUGAGUUUACACAAGAAGGGAGAACCGCUGGUUUUGAACACUGAUUGUAAUGAUAGGGGUUGGGCCAAUUAUUUUAUUUUUGUCAAGAAGUCUUCAAUAGGUAAUGACAGAAUGUGGCUGACGAAAGGAUGGCCGGAGAAGGAGCUUGAUUAUGAUUAUCUUAAGCUAACAAAAGGAUCGUUGACGAAGGUGUAACGGGCUUUGGAAGCUGGGUAUGCGAAAAGAACUUUGGAAGGACGAGGCACCCUCUUAGUGAAUCGUUGGGACAAAAACACAAGGAUUCACCGAACUUUUCCCUAUAAGCCGAAGAUUUCGAGGAAAUGAUGUCUACUUAAUUUGCAGCGCAAGGCGGUCGUCGAGGAUGAAACUGAAGGAGUUGUGUCUUCGAUAAGUGCAAUUACUAGAUAUAUCAAGGAUCACUAUUAUGGAGAUAAUAAGUUCAUUCUCUUUG